rnacentral:lncRNA from 7 species
UUUAUUUUUUUCCACCAGGAAAUAAAAGAUUUCCUCGUGGCUUUUAGUAACAGCAAAGAGGAAUCCUUUCCACUGCGGCUCAGAACAAGCUGGUCAGACAGCACAAAGUGAUACAAUUCUCAGGAAGGUGCUCACCACACACAGUUGCUAAGUUUCUAGUUUUCCACCUACUGAAGAAGUGCAAGUAACAUCUGAUCAACUGUAGCUUAAGAUCCAGGGACUCUGCUCACAAGGAGAUUCUUGAGGAUGAUAACAGAUGGGGGCUUCCAUCUGGACCAGAAUAGCACUGAAGCUUAUCUGCCAGGAAUCCCCAGGAAGGAAGGAAGGAAGGAAAGAAGAAUAUCCUCUUGCUCCUCUGUACCUCCUCAUAUUACAACUCAACACUCUGCUUUGAUGCUUUGCUCUAAGAAAUCCUUGGUCCACAGCUAGAAGAUAUCAGCAGAGUUCUGUUCCUCAGCACUGGAAUGUGAAAACUCCGAUAAAAAGCCAUUGUCUGUCUUCACUUUUGUGUAGGCUGAGCAUUUACUGCAAAAGACUGCAGUGGCUUUUCCAAGUCUUGCUUCUUCCAGAAUGUCUAUCUGCACCUACCCCUACACACAUUAGCAGUUCCACUGCCCAGGUCCUCCCGAGCUGCUGAGCUGCAGGCACAGAGGUCGGUCUUCAGCCAGCACAACACUCAGGCACCGAUGUUCCCAAUAGCACUGUUCUGCUGGGAAGAAAACUGAGAGUGGUGGAAAAACAACAUGCCCAGAAAAGGAACCUGCCCUUUCUCUUAUUCUGAAAACAAGAAAGCUGUGGAUUUGUUUCAUCAGCAUAACCCAAAAACAGCUGACAUCAUGUCUUUGAAUACCAAGGCCAAGGGGCAGAGGAUUCUAUGCAAAGGAGGAACAGCUCAGGGAACAUAUUAGCAAGGGACACUACAACUUGUAUUUUCUUACAAUCUAUUCCUGCUAUUUCUGCUAUUUCCCAAACAAAUUGUCUUUCUAGCAUUUAAAAAGCUAAAGACUGUAAUAUGAAAGGUUACAAAGCAAUAAAGAGAAAAGC